CCACACUGGGACUGAGACACGGCCCAGACUCCUACGGGAGGCAGCAGUGGGGAAUUUUGGACAAUGGGCGCAAGCCUGAUCCAGCCAUGCCGCGUGUCUGAAGAAGGCCUUCGGGUUGUAAAGGACUUUUGUCCGGGAAGAAAAGCGCGAUGUUAAUACCAUUGCGUGCUGACGGUACCGGAAGAAUAAGCACCGGCUAACUACGUGCCAGCAGCCGCGGUAAUACGUAGGGUGCGAGCGUUAAUCGGAAUUACUGGGCGUAAAGCGAGCGCAGACGGUUACUUAAGCAGGAUGUGAAAUCCCCGGGCUCAACCUGGGAACUGCGUUCUGAACUGGGUGACUAGAGUGUGUCAGAGGGAGGUAGAAUUCCACGUGUAGCAGUGAAAUGCGUAGAGAUGUGGAGGAAUACCGAUGGCGAAGGCAGCCUCCUGGGAUAACACUGACGUUCAUGCUCGAAAGCGUGGGUAGCAAACAGGAUUAGAUACCCUGGUAGUCCACGCCCUAAACGAUGUCAAUUAGCUGUUGGGCAACUUGAUUGCUUAGUAGCGUAGCUAACGCGUGAAAUUGACCGCCUGGGGAGUACGGUCGCAAGAUUAAAACUCAAAGGAAUUGACGGGGACCCGCACAAGCGGUGGAUGAUGUGGAUUAAUUCGAUGCAACGCGAAGAACCUUACCUGGUCUUGACAUGUACGGAACCUUCCGGAGACGGAAGGGUGCCUUCGGGAGCCGUAACACAGGUGCUGCAUGGCUGUCGUCAGCUCGUGUCGUGAGAUGUUGGGUUAAGUCCCGCAACGAGCGCAACCCUUGUCAUUAGUUGCCAUCAUUUGGUUGGGCACUCUAAUGAGACUGCCGGUGACAAGCCGGAGGAAGGUGGGGAUGACGUCAAGUCCUCAUGGCCCUUAUGACCAGGGCUUCACACGUCAUACAAUGGUCGGUACAGAGGGUAGCCAAGCCGCGAGGUGGAGCCAAUCUCACAAAACCGAUCGUAGUCCGGAUUGCACUCUGCAACUCGAGUGCAUGAAGUCGGAAUCGCUAGUAAUCGCAGGUCAGCAUACUGCGGUGAAUACGUUCCCGGGUCUUGUACACACCGCCCGUCACACCAUGGGAGUGGGGGAUACCAGAAGUAGGUAGGGUAACCGCAAGGAGCCCGCUUACCACGGUAUGCUUCAUGACUGGGGUGAAGUCGUAACAAGGUAGCCGUAGGGGAACCUGCGGCUG
rnacentral:rRNA from 1 species